UACGUAGGGUGCAAGCGUUAAUCGGAAUUACUGGGCGUAAAGCGUGCGCAGGCGGUGAUGUAAGUCAGUUGUGAAAUCCCCGGGCUCAACCUGGGAACUGCAUCUGUGACUGCAUCGCUGGAGUACGGUAGAGGGGGAUGGAAUUCCGCGUGUAGCAGUGAAAUGCGUAGAUAUGCGGAGGAACACCGAUGGCGAAGGCAAUCCCCUGGGCUAACACUGACGCUCAGGCACGAAAGCGUGGGGAGCAAACAGG
rnacentral:rRNA from 1 species